CUAAGUAUAAGCAAUCUAUACUGUGAAACUGCGAAUGGCUCAUUAAAUCAGUUAUCGUUUAUUUGAUAGUACCUUACCUACUUGGAUAACCGUGGUAAUUCUAGAGCUAAUACAUGCUAAAAACCCCGACUUCGGAAGGGGUGUAUUUAUUAGAUAAAAAACCAAUGCCCUUCGGGGCUCCUUGGUGAUUCAUGAUAACUUAACGAAUCGCAUGGCCUUGUGCCGGCGAUGGUUCAUUCAAAUUUCUGCCCUAUCAACUUUCGAUGGUAGGAUAGUGGCCUACCAUGGUUUCAACGGGUAACGGGGAAUUAGGGUUCUAUUCCGGAGAGGGAGCCUGAGAAACGGCUACCACAUCCAAGGAAGGCAGCAGGCGCGCAAAUUACCCAAUCCCGACACGGGGAGGUAGUGACAAUAAAUACUGAUACAGGGCUCUUUUGGGUCUUGUAAUUGGAAUGAGUACAAUUUAAAUCCCUUAACGAGGAACAAUUGGAGGGCAAGUCUGGUGCCAGCAGCCGCGGUAAUUCCAGCUCCAAUAGCGUAUAUUAAAGUUGUUGCAGUUAAAAAGCUCGUAGUUGAACCUUGGGCCUGGCUGGCCGGUCCGCCUCACCGCGUGCACUGGUCCGGCCGGGUCUUUCCUUCUGGGGAGCCGCAUGCCCUUCACUGGGUGUGUCGGGGAACCAGGACUUUUACUUUGAAAAAAUUAGAGUGUUCAAAGCAGGCCUAUGCUCGAAUACAUUAGCAUGGAAUAAUAGAAUAGGACGUGUGGUUCUAUUUUGUUGGUUUCUAGGACCGCCGUAAUGAUUAAUAGGGAUAGUCGGGGGCAUCAGUAUUCAAUUGUCAGAGGUGAAAUUCUUGGAUUUAUUGAAGACUAACUACUGCGAAAGCAUUUGCCAAGGAUGUUUUCAUUAAUCAGUGAACGAAAGUUAGGGGAUCGAAGACGAUCAGAUACCGUCGUAGUCUUAACCAUAAACUAUGCCGACUAGGGAUCGGGCGAUGUUA
rnacentral:rRNA from 1 species